rnacentral:rRNA from 1 species
UACGUAGGGGGCGAGCGUUGUCCGGAUUUAUUGGGCGUAAAGCGCGCGUAGGCGGUACGGCAAGUCGGCCGUGAAAGCGCCAGGCUCAACCUGGCGAGGUCGGGCGAGACUGCCGCACUAGAGGCAGGCAGAGGGCGGUGGAAUUCCGGGAGUAGUGGUGGAAUGCGUAGAGAUCCGGAGGAACACCAGUGGCGAAGGCGGCCGUCUGGGCCUGUCCUGACGCUGAGGCGCGAAAGCGUGGGGAGCGAUCCGG